rnacentral:rRNA from 1 species
GAUGAACGCUGGCGGCGUGCCUAACACAUGCAAGUCGAGCGGAAGGACGAGAAGUUUGCUCCGCUGACGUUUGGCGCGCGGGGGUGAGAAACAUGUGGAUAACUCACCUAUAAGAGGGGGAUAACUUGGGAAAAGCGGUGCUAACACCGGAGAAUAACGUGAACCGCAUGGGUCAAAAGUGAAAUACGGCCUUGCGGUCACUUAUAGAUGGAUCUGCGCUGCAUUAGCUAGUUGGUCGGGCAAAGGCCUACCAAGGCAACGAUGAGUAGCCGGGCGGAGAGGCGGGUCGGCCACCCGGGGACUGAGACGCGGCCCAGACUCCUACGGGAGGCCGCAGUGGGGAAUGUUGGGCAAUGGGCGAAAGCCUGACACAGCAAUGCCGCGUGUGUGAAGAAGGCCUUCGGGUUGUAAAGCACUUUUGUCGGGAAAGAACCCCUUUGCCCUAAUACGGACGGGGGAUGACGGUACCGGAAGAAUAAGCACCGGCUAACUACGUG